GGUGGCUCAGUGGUGGAGCGCUUGCCUCGCAUGCAUGAGGCUCUGGGUUCAAUUCCUCAGCACCA
rnacentral:tRNA from 1 species